rnacentral:rRNA from 1 species
UACGAAGGGGGCUAGCGUUGUUCGGAUUUACUGGGCGUAAAGCGCGUGUAGGCGGGCUGGUAAGUUGGGGGUGAAAUCCCGAGGCUCAACCUCGGAACUGCCUCCAAAACUGUCAGCCUGGACCCAAGUAGAGGCAAGUGGAAUUGCGAGUGUAGAGGUGAAAUUCGUAGAUAUUCGCAGGAACACCAGUGGCGAAGGCGACUUGCUGGACUUGUGGUGACGCUGAGACGCGAAAGCGUGGGGAGCAAACAGGAUUAGAAACCCUGGUAGU